rnacentral:rRNA from 1 species
CUUAAAUUGAAGAGUUUGAUCAUGGCUCAGAUUGAACGCUGGCGGCAGGCCUAACACAUGCAAGUCGAGCGGUAGCACAGAAGAGCUUGCUCUUCGGGUGACGAGCGGCGGACGGGUGAGUAAUGUCUGGGAAACUGCCUGAUGGAGGGGGAUAACUACUGGAAACGGUAGCUAAUACCGCAUAACGUCUUCGGACCAAAGAGGGGGACCUUAGGGCCUCUUGCCAUCGGAUGUGCCCAGAUGGGAUUAGCUAGUAGGCGGGGUAAUGGCCCACCUAGGCGACGAUCCCUAGCUGGUCUGAGAGGAUGACCAGCCACACUGGAACUGAGACACGGUCCAGACUCCUACGGGAGGCAGCAGUGGGGAAUAUUGCACAAUGGGCGCAAGCCUGAUGCAGCCAUGCCGCGUGUGUGAAGAAGGCCUUCGGGUUGUAAAGCACUUUCAGCGGGGAGGAAGGCAAUAAGGCUAAUAUCCUUAUUGAUUGACGUUACCCGCAGAAGAAGCACCGGCUAACUCCGUGCCAGCAGCCGCGGUAAUACGGAGGGUGCAAGCGUUAAUCGGAAUGACUGGGCGUAAAGCGCACGCAGGCGGUCUGUUAAGUUGGAUGUGAAAUCCCCGGGCUUAACCUGGGAACUGCAUUCAAAACUGACAGGCUAGAGUCUUGUAGAGGGGGGUAGAAUUCCAGGUGUAGCGGUGAAAUGCGUAGAGAUCUGGAGGAAUACCGGUGGCGAAGGCGGCCCCCUGGACAAAGACUGACGCUCAGGUGCGAAAGCGUGGGGAGCAAACAGGAUUAGAUACCCUGGUAGUCCACGCUGUAAACGAUGUCGACUUGGAGGUUGUGCCCUUGAGGCGUGGCUUCCGGAGCUAACGCGUUAAGUCGACCGCCUGGGGAGUACGGCCGCAAGGUUAAAACUCAAAUGAAUUGACGGGGGCCCGCACAAGCGGUGGAGCAUGUGGUUUAAUUCGAUGCAACGCGAAGAACCUUACCUACUCUUGACAUCCACAGAAUUCGGCAGAGAUGCCUUAGUGCCUUCGGGAACUGUGAGACAGGUGCUGCAUGGCUGUCGUCAGCUCGUGUUGUGAAAUGUUGGGUUAAGUCCCGCAACGAGCGCAACCCUUAUCCUUUGUUGCCAGCGAUUCGGUCGGGAACUCAAAGGAGACUGCCGGUGAUAAACCGGAGGAAGGUGGGGAUGACGUCAAGUCAUCAUGGCCCUUACGAGUAGGGCUACACACGUGCUACAAUGGCGUAUACAAAGAGAAGCGACCUCGCGAGAGCAAGCGGACCUCAUAAAGUACGUCGUAGUCCGGAUUGGAGUCUGCAACUCGACUCCAUGAAGUCGGAAUCGCUAGUAAUCGUAGAUCAGAAUGCUACGGUGAAUACGUUCCCGGGCCUUGUACACACCGCCCGUCACACCAUGGGAGUGGGUUGCAAAAGAAGUAGGUAGCUUAACCUUCGGGAGGGCGCUUACCACUUUGUGAUUCAUGACUGGGGUGAAGUCGUAACAAGGUAACCGUAGGGGAACCUGCGGUUGGAUCACCUCCUUACC